ensembl:lncRNA
UUUUUUUUUUUUUUUUAAAACAAAGGUAGAAACUUGGACUGUCAGAGCUUUUAGGGUGGAGUCAAGUAUUUACAGUCACCAUGGGCAACCCUAAAAGUGCUCUCCUGACCCCAGGAAAGCAGAGCGAGCCAACAGGGUCAGGCUUAAGAAAUGACCCGAAUUUCCCCAUGAGCCUUCUCUGCCCAAUGUUUUGAAGUCUGAAGCAUCAGACUGUGACAAUCCACACUUUUUAAAAAAGAUUUUUAAAAAUUAUAGUUGAUUUACAGUGUUGUGCCAGUUUCUGCUGUACAGCACAGUGACCCAGUCAUGCACACGUAUCUAUGCAUUCUUUUUCUCAUGUUAUCUUCCAUCAUGGUCUGUCCCAAGAGACAGGAUAGAGUUCCCCGUGCUAUACACAGCAGGAACUCAGUGCACCCACUCCAAAUGGAGCAGUUUGCAUCUACCAAGCCCUGGCUGGGGCUGAGGGGUGGCUGGCUUGACAUCCUCGGGGCAGGCUCCCACCUGGGGAGCUUCCUAGGUACAGGACAGAGUCGCCUCGGGGGAGGUGCCACUGUGAGAAGGGACUGGUGGUCUUGAUCACAGAGAGAAAGCAUUCCUGGUUAGUCCUUUAAAAUACCUCUUUCGGCAUUUGAUGGUGGUCUAGAAAGUGCAGAAGAAAAAGUUGUAGCCCUUUGGGAGUGACUUAAAUUACAUGAGAAGUAGCCAAGCCUUGCGUGCACCUACUGUCACUUGUUCUUUUGCUGUCUUUGUGCUGCCACCUAGAGAGAAAGGAAAACAGAUGUUGUCUCCUGGGGAGGACAGUCCCAGGGACCGCACGCACCUUCCAGAACAGAAAAGCAAGGCUGCCUUAGUCCUGAGGUCUAAGGCAGCUGUGCAUUUUUGCUUUGAAGAGAAGCCCUCAGGCACAGGAAGAGGAUUCUGUUGGUGACCUCACUCUAGGGCUGACGUUAGGUUCCCAGACAGAGGGUGGGAGAGAGGGGGGUUCUCCUUCCAGGGGUUCAAAGGGUGGGAAAUACAGAAUAAAGUUAGGUUGCCCAAACUCAUGGAAUGGACACCUUCAGUUUAGAAAAAAAAAAUGAAAAUACAAGACACACAUGAAAAAAAUGGUUCUAGGAUGAGUAAUUCUUUUUUUUCCUCUUUCUAUGACCGCACCUGUGGCAUAUGGAAGUUCCCAGCUAGAAUCAGAGCUGCAGCCACGUGGGAUCCAAGCUGCAUCUGCAACCUACACCACAGCUCACGGCAACGCUGGAUCCUUAACCCACGGAGAGAGGCCAGGGAUCGAACCCAAGUCCUCAUGGAUGCUAGUCGGGGUCGCUCACCACUGAGCCAUCAUUCAUCUUGGAGGUCUUGGACGGGAACUCCAAGAUGAANNNNNNNNNNNNNNNNNNNNNNNNNNCCAGUGUGUAAGAAACCAGAGACUUGCGGGUGGAAGUGGUAGUUCUUAACACCCCCACGGAGUUAGUGUUCUCCUGAGUGCUGGGUUCUUGCUGAGGACAAUUUCAAAUGUAAUUUUUUCCGGAGCUGUAAGUUAUCAAAAAUGAUAUUGAUGGAUAUCAAAUUUUGAUGCCAUGAUGCGGAUGAGCUGUGACAGAGGUCUGCAGGUCCCUGCUGGUACAGCGGGUUAGGUACCUGGUGUUGUCACUGCUGUGGUUCAGUCCCUGGCCUGGGAGCUUCCUCAUGCUGCAGGUAUGGCCAAAAAAAGACAAACAAACAAACAAAAAAACCGAAACAACAGAGGUUAGACCUUCCCCGACCAGCCACUUGCCAGGACUCUGUCUUCCUUCCUGUGGCUUCUUCCACAGCCCCCAACAAUACUUGACAACCCAUCUAUCUGCCUCCUAGAGCAGAAACUUCUCGAAGGCAGGUUCUUUUGUCCACCAUGUGGACAGCUGCACUUCUAAUGCCUAGACCAACAUCUGGCACACAGCAGGUACUCCGUAUAUGUUCUUAAAAGAAUCAGGGAAUCUAAGCUUAUUCUUUGGCUUUUUUCUUUUGAAAGAACUAAUAACUUGGAGUUCCUGUCGUGGUUCAGUGGAAACAAAUCUGACAAGUAUCUAUGAGGAUGCAGGUUCGAUCAGACAUUGACAUGAGAGCUGUGGUGGGUUAGGGAUCUGGCAUUGACAUGAGCUGUGGUGUAGGUCGCAGAGGCAGCUCAGAUCUGGCAAGGCUGAGGCCGUGGCGUAGGCCAGCAGCUACAGCUCUGAUUUUUUUUUUUUGGUCUUUUUGCUAUUUCUUGGGCCGCUCCCGCGGCAUAUGGAGGUUCCCAGGCUAGGGGCGGGUGCGGCCCUAAAAAGACAAAAACAAAAAACAAAAAAAACAAAAAACCAACAAAAAACUAAUACCUUGACUAAUCUAAUUCUACACAUUGUGAUUAAAACACAUGUGUAAGGUAACAAUUCUUUUAACAUCCUCAAGGAUUCUUCUGUAAAUCACAUUUGGGGCUUCCCUCCUGCCCCAUCUCAAAUCGGCUUGAUUAGUGUGGGACCCUCAAAAUACCAUUUACUAAUGAAAGUACUGUUAAAAAAAAAAAAAAAGAGCUGACAGCUGAAUUAAAGACUUGACAUGCAAAUGCACCAGCUAAGUAGAUGCAGAAGCUUUCCUGGAAUUCUGGCUGAGGAUAAAUUGACCUGCAGAAUUCAUUAGGAAAAGAGCAAGAAGAUGAAGCAGAAUCACUCUGACUUUCCCAGUCUUUCCAUUAAAAGACUGUUGAAGGAUAAAUGGCCAUAGAGCUAUGCACACAAUGAUAAGGAUAAAAACCUCAGGGAGGCAAAGAGCAGAGAGGGCUGGGCUUCAGGGUGGAGCGGCAGCGGGCGCUCGGCCACUGAGUCUGGGUGACCUCACUCUGACCAUCUGCAAAACAGGGCCACGGCCCUUUCCCGUCUACCUUAGAGGAUUGUUGUAAAGAUGGAUUUAACGACUGAUACGGGAUUGCUGUACGAACUGUAAAGCGUUACUACACGUCAGGCACUUUUCGUCCAUCUGGUGACCCUGAGGAGUCUAUAAACUGGAGAAGUGUAUAAAUCUUUGUGUUAAAAGGUGUAUGAAUCUAGGAGUUUCCGCUGUGGCUCAGUGGUUAGCGAACCUGACCAGCAUCCAUGAGAACACGGGUUUGAUCCCUGGCCUUGCUCAGCAGGUUAGGGAUCCGGCGUUGCCGUGAGCUGUGGUGUAGGUCACAGACGCUGCUUGGAUCUGGCGUGGCUGUGGCUGUGGCUGUGGCUGUGGCGCAGGCUGGUGGCUACAGCUCUGAUUGGAUCCCUUGCCUGGGAACCUCCACAUGCUGCGGGUGUGGCCCCAAAAAGAUUAAAAAAAAAAAAAAGGAGUAUGAGUCUAAUCAUUUCUUCCUUAUUCAUCGAGGCCGAAGCCUGUGGACAUCUUCCAAGGACACUAAGAAAAGAAAAGAGCCUUUCACUUGCCUUUCUGACCAGAGCUCCUUGUCCUCCACCAAGAGGUUGAACUGUAUAACUCAGCUAACUCUGGAGAUCUCCAAAUUUUGGAUUAGUCUUGGAGAAAGGGCUGUUUGGGGAAAAAUAUGUGAUACAGGCAGCUAGUCAAGUUAGAUCAACUUUAAGAAUAGAGAAAGUCAGAGUUCCCUGGUGGCCUAGCGGUUGAGGACCUGGUAUUCUCACUGCUGUGGCAUGGGUUUGACCCUUGGCCUGGGAACUUCUGCCUGCCAUGGGUGUAGGAAGAACCCAUGGCACAAAGAAAGAACAGAGAAAGUCAGUCCUAACCUAUGUGAAGAGGCUAAGGGGUGACUUAAAUCUGCCGAGGGGUGACUUUCUAGGAUGUAACAAAAGUCACAGUUCGGGGCUCUGGGAAAAGGGAAUUAGUUUGGUGCGGAGAGUCUGGAAGUCAGCAGUCCUGAGUUUAGGUUCUGGCUUGCUUAGUUAUUUAUUAGCUGUGUGACCUUGGGCAAAUAAGAUGACCUUACAUUUUUUCAACUGUAAAAUGGGAGCGAUAGUACCAAUUAUGCCACAUGGAUUCUGCAAGGAUUUUCAACACAGGAAUGCAUGUGAAAAUUGCUUAAAAUUGCAAAGCACUUUGUCAGUCUUUGUAAUUGUUUUCCAGGAAUUGUGUGCUUUGCAUUUCUUUCCAUGCCAAGGUCAAUGUAAUCUAUGGAAAAAGAAGAAAAGACACAAAUAUGUACCAGGAACACAAUAGCCAGUGCUGGUGUAUUUCCUUCCUAGUGAAGCAGAUGAGAGAAUCCACUUACGGACUGAGGAAGGCCUGAGACACGGUCGCCCUGGACAGACGCUAAUCUGAGAGCAAACCUCUCGACUGUGACACCGGAGGUCGGCUCCCGGGGAGCAGCGACCCCAGGGCAGGACAUAAAUGACCCGACCCAGUGACCUCAUCUCCCAUGGAAGCCAGGACGCCAGGCCAGCCAUGCCAGUGCUUUGUCCAUGGGUCAGAGGUAGGGCGGGAUUGGGAUCACGACCAGGUCUAAAUCCAGCUCCUUGAAAUGAACUGGACUUUUUCGACCAAAUUCAUUUACCCUUUUUCCCCUUCAUUUUUGACCACCACAUGGCAUGUGGCGUUCCCAGGCCAGGGAUCAGAUCCAAGCUGCUGUUAAGCCACAGCUGCAGCAACACCGAAUCCCUAACCCACGGUGCCGGGCCGGCAUCACACUUGUUCCCAAGAUGCUGCUGAUCUCAACACAGCGGGAACCCCUAUUUCGCUUUUUAAAAGUGAACUUUCUAGUUCAGUUUGAAAUCUGGCUGGUCAUUUUUCACUUCAUUCGCAAUUUUAAGGAUUACAUCAUCUGCUUACUGGCACUGAUGUAGGUUUGCAUGCAUAUUUAGGUAGUAAAUGAAUACCCUGUAUAUUGAGGUAGUAAAUGAGUGCAUCUGAGCAUCUCCCUGCCCAAGUGCCUUUGUGUCUGGCUAAGGCUCCGCGUGAGAAACGACGACAGCGCUAAACCAGACCCCGGCCAGUGGAACACAGCUCCUCUCCCAUCCACGUUAAACCCGAUGGAAGGGAAUCUCCUCGGGCGGUGGAACCAGAGAAGCUCCUGGAAGAUGGGAGAGCCUGAGAGUCUGAGUACAAGGAAAAUGUAGGUCAGAGACAAACCAGACACCAAAAAGGAAGGAAUGAUGCUGGUCGGAGAUGAGUUUCAGAAAUACGUGAGGUUUGACGAAAAUGACGGAGGCUCUUGUGUGUGUUCGCAAGUGAUUCUGGAGCCUGCAGAAACUUCUGGAAGCUUUCUCUAAACUCAGGACAUUAAUCAAAAAGAUAAAUGAUGUGAGCAAGAGUGGGCCACAGGAGGUGAGUAAGGUCCAGUGCGCCAAUGUUUGGUGUAUAAAGUCUAAAAAGGCUCUCGUCUGAAAUUCUUCAAGGAAUUUGAAAGAAGGAUAGGAUGUAUAUGUGUAUAUGUGUAUGCGUGUGUGAAUAUGUAUAUACGUUUGUGGGUACUUAUGUGUAAAUGCGCACGUGUCUGUAUGUCAGUGUGUGUGUGUAUAUACACACACACAUAUAUAUAUAUAUAUAUACAGUGUGUGUGUCCCUGUAAGCCCAUAUUGAUUUGUUCCUCAUAUUAUUCCCCAAAAGAACACUUGGAAUGCGUGACAUGUUUAUAUAUUUGUUUGUUUGUCUUUUUAGGGCUGCACCUGCCGCAUAUGGACAUUCCCAGGCUGGGGGUCAAGUCAGAGCUGCAGCUGCAUCUUCGACCUACACCACAGCUCAUUGCAACGCUGGAUCCUCAACCCACUGAGCAAGGCCAGGGAUCCAGUCCGAGGCCUCAUGGAUCCUAGUUAGGUUCCUUACCACUGAGCCACCAUGGGAACUCCGAGAGACACCUUUAGUUUCAUUCUUCCAUCACUGUUCAACUCCUAGUUCACAGCUCACAUUGCAAGUAACGUUAGGAACGUCAUCUUGACGUCAAAGGUAAAGUCAAGCAUGGAAGACAGGGGCUCCUAGCGGCUCAGUGGGUUGGGGGUCCGGCAUUGUCUCGGUUGUGGCUCUGGUUUACUGCGGUGGCAAGGGUGCGAUCCCUAUAGCCCGGGAAACCAUGGGAGAUUAUAAAAGUGACGACUUCCCAGAUGCCCAUUUAAUCUCUAGCUAAGUCACGUGAGCGCCUGUUUAAAGUUCCUGGAAUCUAAUGUACAGCACAGUGACUGGAGUUAAUAAAACUGUAUCGUAUACUUGAGAUUUGCUGAGAUCAGACCUUUCGUGCUCCUGUCUCACACACACACACACACACACACACACACAGCAAAUAUGGGAGGUGAUAACUGUGUUCGUUAGCUUGGUUGUAAUAAUCAUUUCACACUGCAGAUGCAUGUCAAAACAUCGCACUGUAUAACCUAAAUAUACAUACAUCUUUAUUUGUCAGUUAUACCUAAUAAAGCUGGAAAAAAUAUAAACUUCUGGGACGGCGAGGCGUUUACAUAGACCACAUAUUAUCCUCAAACUUCAAUAAUUUAGGUCGUGGGCUUGAUAUAAAUAAUUUCUAAAUGCGACGUAAAAGCAAAUUUACUAACCUCACCACAGGUGCAAACAACGUCCUCUAACUUCAGAUGUUCUGACCCAGCUAAAGUGACUACGGUGAACGCAGUUGAAUCAACCAACAGAAGGAAAUUCACAGCGCUUUAUCCGCAGAGGUUGAAGAUUACAUCUGUUUCUUUCUAUUAAGCCCAUACAAGGAGGUCACGAAUGAGUGUAUGAAAAUGUCUUUGGACGGCAAAUUCAAGAGCACCCAGGCAACCCACUGGGAGUGAACCCUGAAUUUCAAAGUUCAGCUGCAAGCUGCCAAGGGCCCCAGUGUGCUUCUGCGUGUGGAACACUGAGGCGUCCCGUGCAGAUGGACUGACGGAUCGUUGUCGCAUGCCCUGAUAGAAGGCCCACUUUGCGCAGCCCCAUGUUAGGUGCUGUGGGCCUCGUGGUGACCCAGUCAGGCCAGGGUCUGUGAAGAGGGUGCAGCAGGAAGAUGGGAUGGACAGUGACCGAUUGCGGGGGGGUUGGAGGUAGGUGAGGAAGGUCAGGACGUGCCUCUCUAAAAAAAUGACAUUCAAGAUAAGACUUAAACUACAACAUGAUGGGACUAAUCAUGUGAAGCUCUGGAGGAAGUGGAUAAAAGACACACCAGUCACACAAAGGCACCGAUGUGGGGACAGCAUGGCAUACUCAGGGACCCAAAAGAAGGUCAGAGAAUAGCUUAGACAUUUGGAAAGACCAAGGGGGAUUAAGAUCCUGACCUUGACCCGUGGGGGGAAAAAAGUCAAGUCUCAGCUAAUGAGGACACUAGUUAGAUGAUUUAUUCAUCUACCAGGUACCAGCAUUUACCAACUGCAUACUCUGCCCAGCAGUGAACAAGACACGAACUUGAACAGUGCAUUGUUCCUGCUGUUAAGGGGCUAAGCUUCAGGAGGGGUGAUAAUUCGUUUCAAUAGCCUUUCUCUCUUCCCUUGCCCGUGGGGUUGGGUGGGGUUGGGUGUCCCUAUUCUGGCUCCUACGGCCUCCUGCCCUACAUCCACAGCUGUUGUGGGGAUUAAUGAGUUAUAUGUAAAAUGCUCAGAAUAGUGUCAAGCGCAUAAAUCCUAUACUGUGUGGGUUGCUAUUAGUAUUACUGUUAUUAGUAUUAAGAAAUGAUCACAUGAGGAACAGGACAGCACAAUUUCAAGGUAUCUCAAACAACGUUAGGCAUUUGACAAAAUAACUGGCCAUUACUCUCAAAGUGUCAAGGUCAUCAGAAUACUAAGAAAGACUGAGAGACAAAUUAGAAAAAAGAAAAGCGAUAUGCAAAAUAAAUGCAACGUGGAAGGAUGAAUUGGAUCCUGGAAUAGAAAAACAUUAGUGUAAAAAUA